rnacentral:rRNA from 1 species
UGCGGCGUGCUUAACACAUGCAAGUCGAACGGAAAGGCCCUGCUUUUGUGGGGUGCUCGAGUGGCGAACGGGCGAGUAACACGUGAGUAACCUGCCCUUGACUUUGGGAUAACUUCAGGAAACUGGGGCUAAUACCGGAUAGGAGCUCCUGCUGCAUGGUGGGGGUUGGAAAGUUUCGGCGGUUGGGGAUGGACUCGCGGCUUAUCAGCUUGUUGGUGGGGUAGUGGCUUACCAAGGCUUUGACGGGUAGCCGGCCUGAGAGGGUGACCGGCCACAUUGGGACUGAGAUACGGCCCAGACUCCUACGGGAGGCAGCAGUGGGGAAUAUUGCACAAUGGGCGGAAGCCUGAUGCAGCAACGCCGCGUGCGGGAUGACGGCCUUCGGGUUGUAAACCGCUUUCGCCUGUGACGAAGCGUGAGUGACGGUAAUGGGUAAAGAAGCACCGGCUAACUACGUGCCAGCAGCCGCGGUGAUACGUAGGGUGCGAGCGUUGUCCGGAUUUAUUGGGCGUAAAGGGCUCGUAGGUGGUUGAUCGCGUCGGAAGUGUAAUCUUGGGGCUUAACCCUGAGCGUGCUUUCGAUACGGGUUGACUUGAGGAAGGUAGGGGAGAAUGGAAUUCCUGGUGGAGCGGUGGAAUGCGCAGAUAUCAGGAGGAACACCAGUGGCGAAGGCGGUUCUCUGGGCCUUUCCUGACGCUGAGGAGCGAAAGCGUGGGGAGCGAACAGGCUUAGAUACCCUGGUAGUCCACGCUGUAAACGGUGGGUACUAGGUGUGGGGUCCAUUCCACGGGUUCCGUGCCGUAGCUAACGCUUUAAGUACCCCGCCUGGGGAGUACGGCCGCAAGGCUAAAACUCAAAGGAAUUGACGGGGCCCCGCACAAGCGGCGGAGCAUGCGGAUUAAUUCGAUGCAACGCGUAGAACCUUACCUGGGUUUGACAUGGAUCGGGAGUGCUCAGAGAUGGGUGUGCCUCUUUUGGGGUCGGUUCACAGGUGGUGCAUGGCUGUCGUCAGCUCGUGUCGUGAGAUGUUGGGUUAAGUCCCGCAACGAGCGCAACCCUUGUUCACUGUUGCCAGCACGUUAUGGUGGGGACUCAGUGGAGACCGCCGGGGUCAACUCGGAGGAAGGUGGGGAUGACGUCAAGUCAUCAUGCCCCUUAUGUCCAGGGCUUCACGCAUGCUACAAUGGCUGGUACAGAGAGUGGCGAGCCUGUGAGGGUGAGCGAAUCUCGGAAAGCCGGUCUCAGUUCGGAUUGGGGUCUGCAACUCGACCUCAUGAAGUCGGAGUCGCUAGUAAUCGCAGAUCAGCAACGCUGCGGUGAAUACGUUCCCGGGGCUUGUACACACCGCCCGUCAAGUCAUGAAAGUUGGUAACACCCGAAGCCGGUGGCCUAACCGUUGUGGGGGAGCCGUCGAAGGUGGGACUGGUGAUUA